GCGGUUCCGUAGUGUAAGUGGUUAUCACGUUCGCUUCACACGCGAAAGCGUCUCCGGCUCGAUCCCGACGAACCAAGCA